GUGCCAGCAGCCGCGGUAAUACGGAGGGAGCUAGCGUUGUUCGGAAUUACUGGGCGUAAAGCGCACGUAGGCGGCUAUUCAAGUCGGGGGUGAAAGCCCGGGGCUCAACCCCGGAACUGCCCUCGAAACUAGAUAGCUAGAAUCUUGGAGAGGCGAGUGGAAUUCCGAGUGUAGAGGUGAAAUUCGUAGAUAUUCGGAAGAACACCAGUGGCGAAGGCGACUCGCUGGACAAGUAUUGACGCUGAGGUGCGAAAGCGUGGGGAGCAAACAGGAUUAGAUACCCCCGUAGUCC
rnacentral:rRNA from 1 species